GCGCACCAGGCGAGAAAACUUUACAAUGCGGGAAACCGCGAUAAGGGGACACCGAGUGCCAGCAUACUAUGUUGGCUGUCCACAUGUGUAAAUAGCAUGUGUUAGCAAGGGCCGGGCAAGACCGGUGCCCAGCCGCCGCGGUAACACCGGCGGCCCGAGUGGUAAUCCACUAUUAUUGGGUCCUAAAGGGUCCGUAGCCGGUUUGAUUAGUCUUCCGGGGAAAUCUGAUAGCUCAACUAUUAGGCUUCCGGGU
rnacentral:rRNA from 1 species